rnacentral:rRNA from 1 species
UUGUCCGAAGUUACUGGGCGUAAAGCGCGUGUAGGCGGGUUGCCAAGUCCGCUGUGAAAGCCCGAGGCUCAACCUCGGAGGGUCGGUGGAUACUGGCAAUCUUGAAGGUGCUAGGGGGAGAUGGAAUUACCGGUGUAGCGGUGAAAUGCGUAGAGAUCGGUAGGAACACCAGUGGCGAAGGCGGUCUCCUGGGGCAUUCUUGACGCUGAGACGCGAAAGCUGGGGGAGCGAACGGG